GAGAAAUGGGUAUAAGUGUUGUCU
rnacentral:snRNA from 1 species